UACGGGGGGGGCAAGCGUUGUUCGGAAUUACUGGGCGUAAAGGGUUCGUAGGUGGCUUGCUAAGUCAGACGUGAAAUCCCUCAGCUUAACUGGGGAACUGCGUCUGAGACUGGUGAGCUUGAGUGCAGGAGAGGAACGCGGAAUUCCAGGUGUAGCGGUGAAAUUCGUAGAUAUUAGGAAGAACACCGGUGGCGAAGGCGGCCCACUGGCUCGACACUGACGCUGAGGUGCGAAAGCGUGGGGAGCAAACAGG
rnacentral:rRNA from 1 species